GGAAAUUUGUAUACAGCUGAAGCCUGAAACUGCAGCAACAUCUAUCUUGUGCGCAAAGCUUUAACCGAGGGGUGAGGGCGCAGCUUUAUCUCCAAAGGUCUUUCACCUGACCGUAGGAUAGCCGUCGCCCGUUGAGGAUUGCAGUGGUUGAAGCUUCAGUUUCGUCGGACUUGAAUUUCCACUCUGAAAAUGAACCACCAUACCUGCAUCUCUGACUUUCUUAUGGGCGCAAAUGAGAUUGUGAGAACGACAACCACAACUCUGCUCAAAGACAACCAGUAAUGUAUUUCCCAACACACCCUGAACUUGCUUUUACAGAUUAUUACAAUUCCUCUACUAACCUGGUACUAUAGACAUCAUUAACUCAACUAGUAGUGAUGUAUUUCCCAUCUCCUGCAUCACUGCUAUGAUUACCACGCCAUCCAAGUGCAGUAUCAGGAUCAGUCAUGCAAACCAUACCUGCUAGUUUACUGAAACUGAAAUUGUCAGGGAACUCGUGAACCAUCCCGACUUGCUUGCAUACUGCAGGUCAGGCUUCCAUUACCUACAAUACCACAGCAUUUUCUGGGGAAGCAGUUACCCACAACUUGAACUCUUUUCUUGAGAAUUAUGGUACAUGAGGCCUUUCAUUCAAAGCUUCCUAUACACUCACUUCCCUCUGGGAAUGUAAGUUAUAACACCGACCUUGUACAGCUAGGAAUCAAAUUACAACUGCCCAGAUUCUCUAAGGAUUCAUUCCAAAGCUUGCCACAUUGUGUAACGAUUCGGUAUUCGGCUAAGACAGUCUGUGCAACUUCUACUCACUUCAUUCACUACUACUCGAUGUAAAAUAUUAGGAGACCAUGACAGUUCUAAUGCAAACGAUACAGAGGAACUAACUGCAGUCCCCUCCACAUUUUCUCAUCCGGGCUUGGGACCGG
rnacentral:rRNA from 1 species